rnacentral:tmRNA from 1 species
GGGGGCGUUCUGGUUUCGACGGAAUGUUUGAAGCGCUGGCCGCACGUAGAGGUUGAUCGGCUGGCCUCUCAAAAAAGCCGCUCAAAACAAAUAAAUGCAGACUCUAACGAGCUCGCACUGGCUGCUUAAUUGACGGCCACGUCAAAUCCCUGAUGUCUGUUAGGGGAGGCGGCGCAACUUAGCAGACUGGGUAGGGAGCCGGGGAACCGGGCACCUUGCCGAGACCAAACAGGUUCCUAGGGAGCGCAACGCGGCGGAUCGGCCCAGCACUUCCGAAACACCAGAUGAUCCGCUAAACGUGUAGACGCCUUUGUAGAUGGCGUUCCGGACAGGGGUUCGACUCCCCUCGCCUCCACCA